CCACUUGGUCUGUCUCUCUUUCCAUCCUUUUCAUUCUCUCAUCUCUCUCUCAUUUGUGCUAUCCCAACCCAGAACCUUCUCAUCACCGACCCCCUCACUCUAUCUCAUCAACGAUUGUGAGAGUCUUUCUCCCAAUCCAGAACCUUUUCUUCUCGUUGUCGAUCGGUCUCUCAUAGUCGACAUCCUACCCCCCUCUUUCUCUCUAUCUCUUUCAUCUCUCUUCGGUGAACAACAGUUGACGAGGAUCUAACAUCACAAACCCCUCUUCGAUGAACAUCAGUCGACAAGAUCAAAGAUCACAAACCCACAUCGCAAAUCGAAGCCCUAUUCAUAGAUCACAUAUUACAGGCCCAAACUCGCAAGCAUAUUGAAAUAUAGAUAUAUUGAUUAGGCAUUGUUUUCCUAAAAGGGAUGCUGGUGAUGGCCAAGGUACUGCAAAGACAUUGUUGGAUAAAAUAGCCAAUAUGGAAAGCGAGGCACAAAAGUCCUUUAUGCACCGUUGUAAGUGUCAGCAAUAAUCACUUGCACCAGUCUGAAGAACUUAAAUCAACUAGGCAUUACUUAGAAGGCUCCUGGGUGGCAAGGUAAUGAAUAGAGUAGUUAUCGGAUUUGAAAUUUCAAAUUUCACCAAAAAUUGAGACAAAAAUUACGCGUUGUUUUGAUGCUUGGCUUGUUUAAUAAUCAAGUCAAGUUUGAGUAGAGAGCUUGGUUUGAAUGGGUUCGUAGACACAAAG